CAGUCAAUGGAGGAGACACCGUCUUCAAGAUAUCUUUCCUGCUGCAAUGCAUCCUGGUAACAUUUUUUCAUCUACCCUUGCGUUUUGGUUAAAGUCCCAUCUUCAAGCCAAAACCAUAAUUCUCUAAAUAUUUUCUAUAUUUGUGUAUAUUAUAAUAUGAAAUGUUAUAAAUCCUUAAAUAAAUUGUGUACAUUUUCUAAAA